rnacentral:rRNA from 1 species
GGAAGUAAAAGUCGUAACAAGGUUUCCGUAGGUGAACCUGCGGAAGGAUCAUUACCGAGUGAGGGUCCCUUGCGGGCCCAACCUCCCACCCGUGUUUAACUAUACCGUGUUGCUUCGGCGGGCCCACUGGGGCCUGUUCCCGGUCGCCUGGGGGGGUGAAACCCCCCGGGUCCGUGCCCGCCGGAGACCCCUUGAACCCUGAGUGAAUCGAGUGUCGUCUGAGUUUGAAUUAAAUCAUUAAAACUUUCAACAACGGAUCUCUUGGUUCCGGCAUCGAUGAAGAACGCAGCGAAAUGCGAUAAGUAAUGUGAAUUGCAGAAUUCCGUGAAUCAUCGAAUCUUUGAACGCACAUUGCGCCCCCUGGCAUUCCGGGGGGCAUGCCUGUCCGAGCGUCAUUGCUACCCUCAAGCGCGGCUUGUGUGUUGGGCGCUGUCCCCCCGGGGACAGGCCUGAAAGGCAGUGGCGGCGUCGCGUCCGGUCCUCGAGCGUAUGGGGCUUUGUCACUCGCUCUGUGGGGUCCGGCCGGGGCCUGUCUACCCCAAUCUUUUCUCAAGGUUGACCUCGGAUCAGGUAGGGAUACCCGCUGAACUUAAGCAUAUCAAUAAGCGGAGGA